rnacentral:rRNA from 1 species
GACGAACGCUGGCGGCGUGCUUAACACAUGCAAGUCGAACGGAAAGGCCUCUUUCGGGGGGUACUCGAGUGGCGAACGGGUGAGUAACACGUGAGUAACCUGCCCUUGACUUUGGGAUAACUUCAGGAAACUGGGGCUAAUACCGGAUAGGAGCUCCUGCUGCAUGGUGGGGGUUGGAAAGUUUCGGCGGUUGGGGAUGGACUCGCGGCUUAUCAGCUUGUUGGUGGGGUAGUGGCUUACCAAGGCUUUGACGGGUAGCCGGCCUGAGAGGGUGACCGGCCACAUUGGGACUGAGAUACGGCCCAGACUCCUACGGGAGGCAGCAGUGGGGAAUAUUGCACAAUCGGUGGAAGCCUGAUGCAGCAACGCCGUGUGCGGGAUGACGGCCUUCGGGUUGUAAACCGCUUUCGCUCAUGACGAAGCUUUGUGUGACGGUAGUGGGUAAAGAAGCACCGGCUAACUACGUG